GCAGUCGCCGCGGGAAGACAGAGGAUGCAAGCGUUAUCCGGAAUGAUUGGGCGUAAAGCGUCUGUAGGUGGCUUUUCAAGUCCGCCGUCAAAUCCCAGGGCUCAACCCUGGACAGGCGGUGGAAACUACCAAGCUAGAGUACGGUAGGGGCAGAGGGAAUUUCCGGUGGAGCGGUGAAAUGCGUUGAGAUCGAAAAGAACACCAACGACGAAAGCACUCUGCUGGGUCGACACUGACACUGAGAGACGAAAGCUAGGGGAGCAAAUGGGAUUAGAUACCCGUGUAGUCCCUGUCUCUUAUAC
rnacentral:rRNA from 1 species